rnacentral:snoRNA from 1 species
CCGAGUUUCAGAUAUCCACGCUCCACACAGAAAGGCCUCUUGCCCUUCAGACAGGGAUAACUUUACAUCAUCAUGCACUCAG